ensembl:processed_transcript
CCGUGUCUUUAUUUCCUCCUGAGAUCAGAGUAAUCGCCAUUAUUGAAUAAGUGCAACUUUCAGGAUUAUUUAUGGCACCCGCGCGCUGUCAUGAAUGGCUGUGGGGAAGCACGUGAUACCAUUAAACUUUGUUUUAUGGCCAGGGAGUUGACAAGCCAAAAUAUAAUUCACAUUGUAUAUUAGAAAGGUCGUUCAGACGGUUUUAGAAAAGAUCCCAGCAUCGCCGCCGAGGAAAGACGCUCCACGCGUAUUUUGAUCAUGGAUAUACAAAUUUGCCGAUGCGUUUUUGGAGAUACGCCUGCUUCUGGAGUUUUGAGACCACCUGAUCAAUUUGCUUGCCAUGGCACAUCACAGAGUGAGUAGCAUGUACGUCUUCAAUCCUCACCUGGCGGAUUAUGAUUUCAGUUGUACUUGUGUGUGUGUGUGUGUGUGUUUUUUUUUUUUUUUUUUUUUUAGAUUUAUCGAAUGAACAAAUUAUUUAGUUAUAAUUAGUAGUCGGAUUUAAAUAUUAGGUCUGAGACAUAAUGCUAUGAGAGAGCUCCUUCUGAAAAUAUGUCUUCGCUAUGGAACAUGUUGGGUAUUAUAAUAGAUUUUUUAAGCACCACGAGUACCAUGGACAUGAUAUUAAAUUUCAUGAAAACCUAAGAGAAAACAGUUUAAUGGCUUAAUUGUACGUUGAGAAAUUAAGCCUUUUUUCUCGAUAUUUUUGGUCAGUUGGUGAAUAUAUGCCGUCGUCUAUAUAUACC